GGCGGAAUGGCCGAGUGGUCUAAGGCGCUAGAAUCAGGACUAAUAAGGUUCAUCUAGUCCGAAAGGGCGUGGGUUCGAGUCCCACUUCCGUCA